CUCAGCAUCGCCCGCUGCAGAGCGGCUCGCCCGGGCUUCCCAUCCCAAUGCCCCCGCGGCGCAUCCCCUGCCCACAGUUACCCUGGGCCGGCAGGCUCUCAUCACCGCAUGACCUGCCCAGGUUCCCUGGCCUCAGUUUCCCCGUCUUUAGGACGCCAAAGGCUGGGGAGCGCCAGCUUCACAAAACUCGGGGCUGCGUCGCAGAGAAUUUCGACCCUUAACUGGACUUGGUGGAUCCGGCCCCGCUGUGAGAUCCCGCUGUGACGCGGUGCGCGGGCUGGGUCCUCUUGCUGAGGCAGCUGACUGGUUGGGGCAGGCUCUCAGGCACUUUCUGGGCCAGGGUUUCCACAGGUCGCUGCUUUGUCCCCGUCCUGCAGGCAAGAUGCCAGGAAUGUUCACCGGCCCGGGGUUCUGCCGCUCCUGACCCAAGCCUUUGCUCGAUGGCUUGCAGUGCUUGGCAUAAAAUGCCCUGGCUGUUAACGGUGGGAAUAGAAAACAGGGUUUUCCUUUAAAAAAAAAUCGUAGAUGUUAUAAGUAUUUUUGCAUCCCCAGAACAAUAUACUUGUUUAAAUUUUUUUUGAGACAGGUCCUCAUGGAGCCCUGGCUGUGCUAGAAUUUGCAAUGUACACCAGGCUGUCCUUGAACUCUGAGUGCUUUGAUUAAAGGCUGCACCACCAUACAGUUCGUAUCGAUCUUUUUAAAAAACAAAACAAAAGAAAACAAAAAAAAAGGGCAUGUGUGGUGAUUGGCAGACACGCUGGCUUCAAACGCUCUGCUGCUACUGGCUUUGAACUCUGGAUCUUUUUGCCUUUCCUCCCAGGGGUUGGGGUGAUACUGCCAUGCCCGUGCUGGACGUGCAGCAUUGUCUUGAAAAAUGAUCCCCCGACUCUUGUCUCCCUCAGGACAGUCUUCCGUGUUUCACAUCACAACUGUGGGGAAGGAAGCCGGCCAGGCAUGGGGAAACUCCGCCUCUGCCCUCCAAGUCACUUCCGCGCAGAAGCCAACCAGGGGACCCCGCAAACGGCCAGCAGAGGUCCCCAGACCUGNNNNNNNNNNC
rnacentral:lncRNA from 1 species